CAGAGGUCUCAGGGCACUAGAAAAGAUUUGAGAAGAGGCAGACAGGUACUAGGGCUUCCAAGCAACAUCUUAAUCCAUGGUUGGGGAGCCAAUUUUCCUUCAGAUAUUUGCUGGACUACAACUUCCAUUAUUUCCUGACCAUUUUUCGGAUGGUUGGGGCUGCUGGGAGCUGGAGUCCUACAAAUAUCAGGACCCCUAACCCUCUCUUCGUCCCUGCAUGCAACCACAGGGCUUCCCAAAGUGUGUGGUCUGGGAGUUUCAUUCAGGUGGUUUGUGGAAGUGAAAGAAGGAGGCGGCUUUUUUCUUCCCCAGGUGAAUAAACUAUGGCUUGUGCAGGAUAGAGAUAGAUCCCAAGUUGGGGAAAGAGGCUGACAAGACACUUGAAAAGGAGCAGAGGGUAACUCAAAAAGCAUACACAGCAUAUCACGAUUCCUAAACAGGCAGAGAAAUCACUGAGUGGUCCACCAAGACCCUCCGCAAUUUUCAAAUGGUCUUGGGGCAGGGAGAUGUUUGGGAACCCCUGCCCUUCUGUAACUAAGAAUAAUACGUUUAACAAAAAUAAACACACACACCACCUACACCUUUCCUAUCACGUGUCUUCUCUUGUCUCCCAUGGGUUGAAUUGUAGAUUGUAAGUUCCUUGGGGUAGAGGGCUUGUCCUCUGACACUUUGUAAAGUGCCAUGCAUGCUGGUACUGGUGCUAUAUAAAUAACAAUAUCGGGAAGAAUUGCAUACCGUAUUUUAAUUACUUAAGCCAAGGCAUCCUUAAGAAGCUCUUGCCAGCCUCUCCAGGGAUGAUGGGGUGGAGCAGGGCUCUGGAGUUGCACGAUUCCUCCGGCACAUAAACCAUGAGUUUAUGGUGAACAUCUGUGGCAUGGGCACCUUGUGUGUCUGUGGGAAGGAAGGCAGGAAGGCCAAAAGUAGGUGGAGCCAGAGCCAAUGGAGCCACCAAAUUCCACUUUGGUCCCCAUCCCUCCCUGCUGAAUUCUGCAAAGGCAACCCUAAGAAGGUGUCAGAAGCUAACAGCCAGUGCCAGCCCUAGGACAGGUUUUCAGUAAGGAGGUUGGGGCUGCCUGAGAACAGACUGAACAUGGCAGGGCAGUGCCCUGUUUGCCCUAUUGGGCCAGCUUCCCCUGCAUGGAGGCCGCCUGAAUGAGUGAGAACCUGGAAACUCAGCAUUCUCACUUUGUGCCGGGAAGAAGUUUGCUGCAAAUACACCAAGGGGACAGUGAAAGAGGUGUGACGUGAAACUGGGCCAAAGGCACAGCCCCACUGUAUGUGUGUCCUCACUUCCUAUGUUUCCAUAAAUGUUCCUGAAGAGGGCUGGUACCUUGCUCCAAUUUAGCCAUCAAUUCAUCAUUAAAAAAAAAUUAUUGUAAGGCAUUUAUAAACGAUGACAACUUGGUCUUUUGAUUCGACUUUUCCUUGUAUGGAAGUCACACUUACUGGGUCAAUCGUUAAGGAAAGGGUUUCUGCAAUUUCUCCUUUUCAUAGGGGGAAAGUUGCUUCUGAGAAGAAUUCCCAGCUUUGGUCAUCCCUAUGAUCUCUGUACCCCACAAGCUCUUCAUCGGCAUGCUUCAGUUCCGGUCUGAUUGACAGGACUGGAAGACCCCACAGGCCAAAUCUGGCUCAUAGCAGCUGGUCUAUUAAUUUCCAUCCUGACAUUUGAUACAUUACAGACUUGCCGCCAAAAAUCAGUCCAGCGAUACCAAAUUUAAUAUGUCCGUUUCAGACACCCUCCCCAUGUCCGUGCAUCUUCUCUCAACAACAAUAGACUUGGUUUCUUUCCCUCCAUCCCACCCCAAUCUAGCCUCCCAUUUCCCACUCAACAGCCUCACCAUUUUCAGCAUUCUAUUCCAUAGAACCAGCUAGUGUUCAUUAACCCUCCAUGACAUCACAGCAGCUCAGCAAAUAGCCAAAGGUGCUCAGAAUUUAUUUUCAUGGUAAAGGCUAAUGGCAUUAAGAUUCAGAUCACCAAUGCAGAACAGUUUAUUUUUAAAAAUCCAACUAUUACACCAGCCAUUAGGUUCCUUUACAAGCUAGCUUAUCAUCAUGUCCUCCUCCUCGCAUCCUUCUAAUUAACAGUGUGAUAAAAUUGGCCCCUCAGAGUGCUUAUUUCCUGCUAGGUCUUGUUCUCAUAAGCAGCAGGUGAAAGCAGUCUGUGUGUACUGUACUACUUCAGCAAAAAUAAAUCCCUUACGUAGAAAACAUGUCAGGCUAGCACCUGCCUUCUCCCUCACAUUCUAAUCUUGAAAACUUAUCCUGUCCGUGUGGAGCAAAAUUCUAUUCUAUCCCCACAAUCGAGUAAUAAGGUUACUGUUUCAUUAUGCUGUCUCAUGACAUCUGUGGCUUAUAGAGUUACCAAACUGAAAUACCCAAAUGGACAAACAUCUUGGGAGCUGUGCAAGAGAAGCUCCCUCCCUUUACAGUGUUACAAUCAACGCCAAGUUUUGCCAAGCAAUGCCCAAGAUUCCAGGGGUUUUGGCCCUCUUCCACAGUCUGUGUUCCUUUGGGGAAAUGAAGGUGCAGCAGAAAAGUUAGUGACUUUUAAGAUAUGUGGUUCAUUCACAUAUAUGCAAACUGAGUGUAGGUGGGGGGAGUGCAGAAGUUACUGGCAGACAGAGGCACCCCUGCCCUCUCUCUCUACCUGCCAAGAUGGUUCUGACCUUUGUUGUUCUUUCUUGUUCUCAGCAUACCCUUCUGGCAGGUAACUCCUCCCCUGCUAUCCCAAGCCUUGUUUUUUAGAGCCACAUUUUUCCUGCAGCACAGCCUGCCAGGGUCCAAGGAUUUCUCUGUGAUGUUGGUCAUCAACACAUUUUCUCAUACUAAUGUCUCUAUCCCAGGUGAGGCCCUGGCUUGAAAAGGAAGCUUAGCCUGUAUUCUGCAAUGGCCUGGAACCUUCUCUUCAAUAUUCCAAAUAUUAACUAGAUCCUGACAUUCAUUCAUUUAUUAGGGGUUUUUGUGGGGAGGGGGAUCCUCCCCACAAAUUUAUAACAAUACAGACUGUACAGUGGGAUUCAUGCUUAGAGUGAGGAGGAAAAUUGUGCAACUGGCUCUACCGGUGUAUCCCAAAUUUGAGUCUCCAGCUGUUUUUGGACUACAACUCCCAUCAUCCCUAGCUAGCAAGACCAGUGGUCAGGAAUGAUGGGAAUUGUAGUCCAAAAGCAGCUGGAGACCCAAGUUUAGGAAUCACUGCUCUACCCCAUAUACAGCCCUGGAUUUAGGGAGGUGCAAGCUGUGCCCCCCCAGGGCACCAAGCCAAGAGGGCAUAAAAUUGAGAAGAUCCAUAGUUGAAAAUAUGGGGGCACAAAAUUUUGGGCUCACACAGGGCACUGUUUUAUGAAAAAUGACCAAAGCCUGCCCCUGCCCUACUGGUUGACAUUUGGAACCUUCCAAUUGAGCAGCUGAUGAUGCCUAGUGGUUCCUUGGUGAAGGGCCUUAGUUAAGUGCAUUGUAAAGUGUAAAAGAUCCUGGGUUCAGUUCCUAACAUCUGCAAGUUGGGCUGGGGAAAAACCUUGCCUGAAACCCUGCAGAGUCUUUGGCAGUCAAUGUAUACUAGGCGUAGCCAACAUUAGGGCAUCAAGAUCUUGUUGGACACUCAACCUCCAUCACUCUUGACCAGCAGUCUAGUGACACCUGGAGGCAGGCAUCUCAUUGGCUGCCCCAAUGUAGAUGGUACUCAACUAAGUGGAACAAUGGUUUGACUCAACCUAAGACAGCAUCCUGCGCUCCUAAUUCUGCAGGCACCUCUGUCACGUGGAGUCCCAUCUGUGAUGCAUACCUGUCCAUGCUCAAUGUGCAGACAUUGGGUGAAGGAAGGAUUGACUGACCAGGCAAUAUGAAGGGUUUGGAGUCAGCAGCAUUGCUGUGUGAGUCAGAGCAGGGUAUACUGGGCUAGAUUUUCUCACCUGCUUUUAAGGCAGCUUGCUAUCUUCCUUACCUUCUGCACACAAAGUUGUCCUGUCAUUGAUUCCUCGUAGACAUUAGAUGCCCUUUCCUUUGAUUUUAUUUCCCUCUCCAAUCAGCCCACGCUAACAAGAGGCACCACACGUUCUUUCAGGGGAUAAGGCUCCCGCUGUAUUUGGUUAAUGUUCUGCGACCUUUUAAUCUUUUACAGACUUUUCGAUGCAGCUCAAUGCUAGAAUUGAUUUUACUCUUCUUUUUCGGGAAGGAGUUCCUGAGGCAGACAUCUAGGGCCCGUAAAUUCAGGCUGGCAUUGUAAAAACCAACGUUACAAAGUGGGAGGCACUGACCUUUUGCAAAAGCGACAGGAGAAUGAGAGAAGGACAACAAGAACAAGAUAUACAAAAAGCAACCUGCACCUAGUUGCUGCGUUACACUCAGAACUCAGCUUCACUGCCAAAUUGAGCCUGCAAGUCAGAACAAGCCCAAUUAAAAUUAAUGAACCAAAGAGCCUGUACCUUAGAGAGAGCCUUCUCUCUUCCACAUUUGAGAUAUAAGUGCACACACCUUCAAUCAUUUUACAUAAUUAAAAAUUCCCAGUUUACAGAUGGUAAUCAUGCGGUCUUCAGAGGCCUUUAGUGUGGCCAACGGGGGUGUCCUACCUCCAAUUUCCCCCCAACUGUUAGGUGAGCUGGGAGGGAGUGUGGUUGAGAUCUUGGCUGUGUCCUGGAAGGCCUGCUCCCUGCCUUGCCGGCCUUUCCCACCUGACCUGAGAGAGGGCAGCCCCUGGACUGACUCCAGCUACAAAAGCUGAGGCUGCUGAACAGACUCUUGGGCUGGGGGCAAUGUUUAAGAGAGGGGGUUGUUGUUGCCGUUAUUGACAUUAAAUUUUUUUGUAUUUUUAUUUUAGAUCUUAUUAUGAUUUAUGUGGUAAUGGUUCAAUUUGGUUGUGUACAUUUGACGUUUUAUUUAUUGUUUACGACUACUUUUACUAUGUUUGUAAUUAUGUGAUCCCCCCCCCUUCAUGUUGUAAGUUGCCUUGAGCAUGGAUUUAACUAUGGAAAGGUGGCAUACAAAUAAAUUUAUGUAUGUAUUGUGA